rnacentral:rRNA from 1 species
GUAGGUGGCAAGCGUUGUCCGGAAUUAUUGGGCAUAAAGCGCGCGCAGGCGGUUCUUUAAGUCUGAUGUGAAAGCCCACGGCUCAACCGUGGAGGGUCAUUGGAAACUGGAGAACUUGAGUACAGAAGAGGAAAGCGGAAUUCCACGUGUAGCGGUGAAAUGCGUAGAGAUGUGGAGGAACACCAGUGGCGAAGGCGGCUUUCUGGUCUGUAACUGACGCUGAGGCGCGAAAGCGUGGGGAGCAAACAGGAUUAGAUACCCUGGUAGUCCACGCCGUAAACGAUGAGUGCUAAGUGUUAGGGGGGUUUUCCGCCCCCCUUAGUGCUGCAGCUAACGCAUUAAGCACUCCGCCUGGGAUACGGCCGCAAGGCUG